GACGAACGCUGGCGGCGUGCUUAACACAUGCAAGUCGAACGAAGUGGCGAACGGGUGAGUAACGCGUAAUCAACCUGCCCUUCAGCGGGGGACAACAGUUGGAAACGACUGCUAAUACCGCAUACUGAAGGAGGGGAUUGCGUCUGAUUAGCGAGUUGGCGGGGUAACGGCCCACCAAGGCGAUGAUCAGUAGCCGGUCUGAGAGGAUGAACGGCCACAUUGGGACGGAGACAAGGCCCAGACUCCUACGGGAGGCAGCAGUGGGGAAUCUUCGGAAAUGGACGAAAGUCUGACGGAGCAACGCCGCGUGAGUGAUGACGGCCUUCGGGUUGUAAAGCUCUGUUAAUCGGGACGCGGUACCGGAAUAGAAAGCCACGGCUAACGACGUGCCAGCAGCCGCGGUAAUUU
rnacentral:rRNA from 1 species